AUUGAAAAAGAAACAAAUUUAAAGAUGGCCUUAAAUUUAUGAUCUCUCUGCCUCCUGAAUGUUGGGAUGACAGGUGCAUACUAUAGUUUUGGUUACUUUUCAGUUGCUGUCAUGAAACACCAUGACCAACACAACUUGAAGAAAGAGGCUGUUGGGGCUUACAGUUUUAGAGGAUGAGUCCAUAACCAUCAUGGUAGGAAUGCUGGCAGCAGGCAGGCAGACACAGCACUAGCGUAGUUGCUGAGACUUACAUCUUGAGACACAACCAUGAGGUAGAGAGAGCUAACUGGAUAUGACAUGGGCUUUUGAAAUCUCAAAACCUACUCCUAGUGGCACCCCUCCUCCAACAAGGCCACACCCACUCCAAGAAUGCCACACCUCCUAAUCUUUCCAAAUAGUUCCAUCAACUAGGAAUCAAACACCCAAAUAUAUGAACCUAUAGGGGCCAUUCUCAUUCAAACCACCACAGUCCCAUGCCCUGUUCAUGUGGUGCUGAAUACAGAGCCCAAGGCUUUGUAUAUUCUACGCAGGUACUCCACCCACUGAGCUAUAUCUCCAGCCCCCUAUUCCGUCAUUUUGAAAGCAAAGAAAUAAUAAUUUCAGACUCCUAAACUAGGAAAAAUGUAUCCAAAGAGUUUGUCCCUGGGCAGUGUUUGAUACAGUCACCUGCUUGUUCUUGCGGCAUGCACACCUACACAGACACUGGCAGAAUUAUCUGGUUUGUCGACAAAUAAGGACCUGUUCUUCUGGCAUUGAGGAUAGCUUGCCUUUUAUCAAUAAAUGGGCAAAACUCAAAAACUAUAAAGCCUACAUGUGGCUUGUGUCACUUUGUUUGAAAGCAUAGGAUGGAAAGAUAAAAUGUAGUUUCUGACAUAAAAUAAGGAAAAGUGAUUUAUUCCAUGACACCCAUCCAUGUUUGAUGAAUAUUUGUUUGCCUUUAUUUUUUUUCAAGUAUCUAAAAAGUCAUUCAACUGCCUUUAUUACUUUGUUUUAAACAGAUGUUUGUCUGAAGCCAUUGGACAGAAAGUGUUCUGAAACCUUAAGAACAAUGGCAUACUUAUGUCCUGCAAGUGAAGAAGAACUUGUAAGGUCAAGUGUAAGCUCUUGGCUAUUUUUCCAGCACUAUAACUCCUGCCUGCCACCAUGCUCCCCAGCAGGAUGAUCCUGGACUCACCUUCUGAAACUACUCUAGUGGAACCACAGAUCAGUGUAUAACUUUCUGCUACAGACUGUAGAGAUCGUGGUUUGAAAGAUAAUGUCGGAGACAGAAUCGCAGAGUAAAAGGCACUUGUUUCACCGUGUCCUCCUCAGGGAGUUGUCCAAUUCAAUGUGAUUUUAAACAUCUGUCAGCUAAAUCAGAGCUCCAAAUUUAGCACUCGGGAACAUUAUGCGGAUGUGCGAUGCUCGCUGGAGAACACUGCAUCCACAAACUCAGCUCACAGGAGACAGCCGGGUGGUACUCCCAUUGGUAAUUUUAUCUACGAGACGUUUAAUUUGGCUGUGCAUUUAUGACAAUUAUGUAAAAGGGAAGUUGUGACCGUUUCCUCACAAAGGGUUUUCUGCUGAGAACUCUGCAUUUCUCUCUGAUCCUUUGCCUGUGUGGUUUUGUUUGUUUUUAAUCCCCAGAGGCCAGUUUGAUCUGAGUUUCCUGAAAUUCUGUUCUCCAUCCUGAGACAUCUUUCGGGUCUGGCAAAAAAAAAAUGUAACUCUGCUGUAUCCAUCCUAAAGAAGCAUGGUUCUCACUGGCCACCUUUGAUGGGCACUGUAGCAUAGCUCCCUUCUCUCCACUGGAGGGAUGCCCCUGAAGAGCUGCACUGCAGUUCAAGAAGAAGACAACCCCAUGCCUUUGCAGAGGCAAAUGACUGCUCAUUUGGGAGUGUGUAACUAAUUCUAUCAAUUUCUGAAAUCAUGGCAUCUGUAAAGGGAGACACAGGGAGAAAGAGCCUUGUAAAAUAGUAUGGCCAUCGAUAAGUGUCUGAUCACAAUAGACGAACAUGUAUUUGUUGCACUUAGAUUCACACAAAAUCUCCCAGCUUCCAAGAUCCAGUGCUCCACUAAGUCCUCAGACCUAGUUACCACAUGCUUUCAGCUGUGGAAGCAACGCUGUGAGUCUCUGCUCUGAUUUAAUGUGUGAUGCUAUUAGGAAGAAUCUUGUAAUGCUACUGGGUCUCGGAAGCAGCAACUGUGGUGUUUGAUUGGUCCUGUGUAACCAGGAUUAGGCUAGGCCCAGAACAAGGGUCUAAUGAGACUGUAGGGACAGUAAAUCAGUGCAUGAGUGGCAGGCAGACAGGCAUGAAUUUGAACUGUCUCAAGGCAGGGGAAGGUGACGCUGCUGCUGUUGGCCAGAGGAGAUGCCUUACAAAAUCAUCCUGGCAAAACUACACAUGCACUACUCACACAUGGACUUGAACAAGACUCAGUACAGGGUUUCCUUGCUUUUAGAGAAAAGGUGAGCCUCUCAGAGGAGUUAUAACCAAUUAAGAGCUGGGACACAGGGAAGGUGGCUGCAGAGCACUGAGCUGACAAACUUAGUCUCAAAACAUUUUCUUUCUGACAGUCUUGGUGUUUAACACAUACUCUAGGGGAGCCUGAUGGCUCUUCCUUCUCCUCACGCCACUUCUAUGGCAACACACUUACCUUGGGAGGAUACAUUAGGGAAUAGUUAAAACCAGAGACUGUAGCAUCAGACAGAUCAAAAUUCAAGCCCCAGACCACUGAGGCAAAUUAUCCUGGGAAAAUUAGCAAACAUCUGAGCUAGCUCAUUGCAUAUAAGGGAUGCAACUCAAGUAGAAAUAAAGUACCUGACACAUAGCAAAUGUUCAGUGUGACCAAAAUUGUCAUCGUUACUGUAAUUAAUUUGGGUUUGAAUUUUGCAAGUGAUAAAAAUGAAACAGUGCUGGCUUAAGCAAAAUAGUAACAACAUCAAUACAAGUGUGACUUACAGAAAUCACAAGUAGAAAUGUGCACGGGCCUCAGGGACAUCCAGUCACCAUUGUCUUCCAUUGCUCAUCUGCUGUACAAGUCUCCCUGAACUGCAUAUUUGCCUCAUCCCCCUCGGGGUUGAGAAAAAGCCAUCUCCCACCUCCUAACCUGCCAUCCUGCAGCUUCAACUUUCCCAAAAGAGACCAGCCAGAACCUUUUUCCUGUUCUUGAUGUCAUAGACUCCAAUGCAUUCACCUGGCAUGGCUAGAGGCAGGGGUCAAGUGACACUUGUGGUCCCCAGGAAGUAGCAGAUGUGGAGAGUCGCUGGAUUUCUGGGAGAGAAAUUAUGGCCAGAUGUUACAAAAGUACUUUCAAACUAGUAUAAUGGUGGAAGUGCGAUAUUUUUUAAAGUGAGAAGGUGUGAAAAUGUCCUUAGUGAACAAAAUUUCAUAUAUAUCGUGGUCAUGAGCUACACUCAUUUAUAAAGGUAGAGAUUUAUAGGGAACACAGAGAAGUUGGUUUAUGCUGUGGUGGUGAUUUUUUAAUGUUCUCUGAUUUAAUAACAAAACUUUGUUGAAUGCGGAAAGCUCUUACAAGGAUUAAUAACCCUUGAGCUUUUGCCACCUAACACCUUAGCGAGGAUUAGUUGUCAACUGGCUGAGAGCCAAGCCUCUAGGGGUACAGUCUCAGGCCAGAAGGAGGAGGGAGGAGGCAGGAAAAUGCCAAAAGUCCUGAAGGCCAAGCUCCUCGUUCUCUACCAUGUGCAGGCACUGAGGCCCUCUCUUCAUAGAAAGUCAGAAACCUGGCUCAGAAUCCUAAAGCCUUCAUCGUAUUUUCACAGGACAGUCUGUAAACUCCAGCCAGAGACAGGACAGCUACUAGAAAACUCCCUGGGUAGUUUAAAAAAAAAAAAAGCCAUCAGAAACACUGUGAAAAGCCACCUUGUGUUUUUUAGAACAAGACGGGAGCCAGCUUCCAAAAGCCCUACAAACAUCCUAUAGACACGUUUCCAUAGAAACAGAUGAUCCCACGCCCACUCUAGUAGCCUCUGAGCCCAUUUGGCAUUCUGUCCUCAGUUCCACCCCUGGGUGCAGUGAGGAUAACCCAGGAAAAGUCUUUCCAUUUAGUCUUUGGCACCCUGCUUCUAAUAGCCUGAAUGUCCAUGUGCUGCUUCUUUUAAUGUUCCCCUCGAGGGUUGGGUAGGACAGAUGGUCACUGUCAUGUUAAAGCCAAAGACUUAUGAAGCAACUUUGUGAGCAGAGUGAGUACUUAACUCCUGCCCCAGAGACAGACCCCUGGGACUCUUGCCUGAAUGGGGAUGGGAUUCUGCUUCAUUGUAACACAGUGGGUAAUCGCAUUCACUGCCCCAUCUUCAGGGGAGUGGUUUUGAAAUUGCUCAAGCUGGCUGCCCUGAGAUAUUGCCCAAAUGUUCCCUUAGGACUGCUUUUAUCUUCAGCAAAGCUACAUAUGGCCAAAGCUCCAGAAAAAUUCACUGAAACCUAAGGACUUUGCGUGUUCAAGACCCAGACAUCAAAAGAGUGGGAGUUCUGUUGCCGGGUCCAUUCCUUCUGCUCCCAUAACUGUCACCUUAGCUGAAAUCACCAACUUACACAAUUUGGCAGAGUUCAUCUAUAACCUGGCCCUCUAUGUCCUAUAGACACUAGACAUACAUGUAAUCUGUAUAACACAUGUACAAAAUACAUUCAUUAAGCGGUUGAUUAAAACUUGUUAUCUAAAAUUAAUGGCUUUAAACACAUUUUUUUUUAUUAUCUUACAGUCCUAGGAUACAGAUCUUGUUGGCCUAGCAUCAAGGUGUUAGUAAGGCUAUGCACUUUCCGAGACUACACGUAAGAAUCAAGUACCUCCCUUUUCCAAUUGCCACAGGCUGCCUGCAUUCCUUGUCUGUGGCCCCUUCUAUCUGCAAAGCCAGCAGUUGCAGGUGGAGUCACUGUCUUGGUUUCUUUUCCUGAUCCUGCAAUAAAAUAUUCUGAUAAAAGGAGCUUAAAGAAGGAAGGGCUUAUUUAGCUCACAAUUCCAGGUCACAUCCCAUCAUUGCGGGAAAGACACAGUAGCAGGAGCUUGGAGCAACUGGUCACAGAGGAGGGCAAUGAGUGCUCCUAUGCUGGUGCUCAGCUAGCUAUCUCUGUACUGCGACAGUAUUCCCUAGUCCAGAGAAGGGUCCCUGUUGUGGAAUAUCAGUUUAACUAUGUAAAGACAUGUGACAUUUGUUUAUGCUUGGGAAAUGACUUUUGUGUAUAGGUGUGUUACAUUUGUUCAACGGUGUAAAGAUGCGUUACAUUUGUUUGUGCUGCAUUUGUUUAGUUAUGUAAA